UAAGCGUGUAGGCUGGUUUUCCAGGCAAAUCCGGAAAAUCAAGGCUGAGGCGUGAUGACGAGGCACUACGGUGCUGAAGCAACAAAUGCCCUGCUUCCAGGAAAAGCCUCUAAGCAUCAGGUAACAUCAAAUCGUACCCCAAACCGACACAGGUGGUCAGGUAGAGAAUACCAAGGCGCUUGAGAGAACUCGGGUGAAGGAACUAGGCAAAAUGGUGCCGUAACUUCGGGAGAAGGCACGCUGAUAUGUAGGUGAAGCGACUUGCUCGUGGAGCUGAAAUCAGUCGAAGAUACCAGCUGGCUGCAACUGUUUAUUAAAAACACAGCACUGUGCAAACACGAAAGUGGACGUAUACGGUGUGACGCCUGCCCGGUGC
rnacentral:rRNA from 1 species